rnacentral:rRNA from 1 species
GACGAACGCUGGCGGCGUGCCUAACACAUGCAAGUCGAACGGAAAGGCCCUGCUCUUGUGGGGCGCUCGAGUGGCGAACGGGUGAGUAACACGUGUGUAACCUGCCCUUGACUUUGGGAUAACUUCAGGAAACUGGGGCUAUUACCGGAUAGGAGCUCCUGCUGCACGGUGGGGGUUGGAAAGUUGCGGCGGUUGGGGAUGGACUCGCGGCUUAUCAGCUUGUUGGUGGGGUAGUGGCUUACCAAGGCUUUGACGGAUAGCCGGCCUGAGAGGGUGACCGGCGACAAUGGGACUGAGAUACGGACCAGACUCCUACGGGAGGCAGCAGUGGGGAAUAUGGCGGAAUGGGGGGGAGCCUGAUGCGGAGACGCCGCGAGCGGGAUAACGGCCUACGGGUUGUAAACCGCUUUCGACUGUGACGAAGCGUGCGUGACGGUAAUGGGUAAAGAAGCACCGGCUAACUACGUG